rnacentral:tRNA from 1 species
GCGGGUGUGGCGGAACGGGUAGACGCACCAGAUUUAGGUUCUGGCGCCGCGAGGCGUGGGGGUUCAAGUCCCUCCACCCGCACCA